UUUGAGAAUUGGUAUCGGCUUAUUUUAGAAUUAGAUUAGUUAACACAACAAUUUCGAGUCAUUGAAAUAAGUGAGAGAGAAACCUUUCUCAUGAUUCUUCUCACUCGCACUGGGACCUACACUUGACGUUCGAUCCUACAUUUGAUCCAUCCCGAUGGGGUACGAUUUUACACGAUAGAGUAUGAUUUUCGACACAACACAAAACAAUAGAGUCAUGGUAGUCGGUGAAAACAAUGACAGUGGAAGUGCCGAUAACAAUUUCUACAGUGUAUUAGAUGAAGUUCUUUUUAUUCAAUAUCUGAUGGGAUGACGUGUUUGGCUAUUCAAGUAUAGAUGGUUUAAUAUGGAACCAGUCAUUCUCGCAAUCCAAGAACAACAAGUCUUUUACAUCGAGGACCCAAAAAAUGGUGCCAACUAGAAAGUGGUUCAAUUGAUCCAAAAUAAACGUAUAUGGGAUGUCCCUAAAGUGGAUGAUGUUGAGGAUCAGCAACUGAAUACUGGAAACCGUUGUUGGACACUGUGUGCUUGAACACAUUGAGGAUGACACCCUGUGUAGACUAGACGUUGGUCCUACAGUGGUGGAAAGAUGAUUGUGCGUCAUGUCGUGUGCGACUUCAUAAAUGAUGAUGAUGAACAAUUAUACAUUUAAAGCAGAUCAAACGAUGACGAAUCACGUAUUCACAUAUAUUUCAUUUUUUAUAUAUUUAGUUUCAAAUACUCUCAUUUGUUUAAUUAAUCUUGGUUUAACUUUUUCACAGGUACUAUGUCAUUCCUCAACGAUUUCGAUGAGACUGAUGCUCUUUUUGAUUUUAACGACGACACAUUCAAUAAUGCAAGAGGAACAUUCUCACUGGGCGACACAUCAGGUUAGUCCCAUUACAUAAACAAUUAAUUGCAUAAACAUGGAGUUAUGCGUUUCUUUUUUUCAUAGAUGUCGCUCUACCUAGUACUAGCACUCCUAGGAGACAGUAACACUUAAGGAACUUGGAGUUAAAGAGAGAGAUACGUGCAGCAAAAUCUAAAGAUUCCCAUAUCCAUCGCUCUAGGAUGGGAUAAGUCGAUCUCCCCACAUACCGUUUGCUUCAGCUAUACCGUCGGUGUGUUGACGCAGGAUACAUUUUCAAUCCGUUUCCUUAAGUGGGUUGACAUUAUUUCGGAGUAAAUCGAGCUUGUGAAAGAUGAUUUACAAUGAUGGUACGUGUUGGAUUUCGUAGAUCCUGCACUUACUCGAUUUGUUGAGCAUCAAAUGCUCACCACUUGGAAGGAUUUUCAAGGGAGAGAACCACCGCCAUUUUAAGAAGUUCAAUGAUCCUGAACAAAAACGUGUCCACCCACCCCCUAGAUUGAGGAAUCAUGUGAAAGAUUGACACUUAUUAUGCGAUCAUUAUGCUACUCGACAGUUUCUGAGCAAUCAAUGAUGAACAGGGCUGCUAGAGCGAAGCAGCCCAACAACCACACUAGCGGAUCCAAGUCGUUUCUAGAACGACAGUAUGAGCUCAUUGAACAACGAGGUCAUCCAGUCAAUCAGAUGGAGUUGUUCAGAAAAACACACACUUGCGAUGGCCAGUUUGUUUCGUAGGUGACCGCAGAU